rnacentral:ribozyme from 1 species
GGGAGGAACAACGAGCGGCCGAACAGUACGAAAGCAUGAUCAAGGCCCGUGAGCGAGAGGAACAACGGGCCAAGGCAAGGACACAGAAACGAAACGGCAGUGGCGC